CUACGGGGCGCAGCAGUGAGGAAUAUUGCACAAUGGGGGGAACCCUGAUGCAGCAACGCCGCGUGGAGGAUGACGCAUUUCGGUGUGUAAACUCCUUUUAUAUGUCAAGAAAAUGACGGUAGCAUAUGAAUAAGCACCGGCGAACUCCGUGCCAGCAGCCGCGGUAAUACGGAGGGUGCAAGCGGUACUCGGAAUCACUGGGCGUAAAGGACGCGUAGGCGGGUUGGAAAGUCAGGUGUGAAAUCCUACAGCUUAACUGUAGAACUGCACUUGAAACUUCUAAUCUAGAGUAUGGGAGGGGGAGAUGGAAUUAGUGGUGUAGGGGUAAAAUCCGUAGAUAUCACUAGGAAUACCUAAAGCGAAGGCGAUCUCCUGGAACAUUACUGACGCUAAGGCGUGAAAGCGUGGGGAGCAAACAGGAUUAGAUACCCUAGUAGUC
rnacentral:rRNA from 1 species